UACGAGGCGGGGGGCGGGGCUAGGCGCGGCCUUGACAACCAUUAGAGCGCUUGGGGCUGCGCGGCUCGGGGACUAUGUUUCCCAGGGGCCCUCGCGGCGGGCCGGAAGGGGCGGGCCUCCUGCCAGUGCGCACGCGCGCCAGUCCGGCUGGUUAUAUAAGGGAGGCUCCAGCCGCUUUCGUUCUUUUGCUUCGGAGGCGCUUGUAGUUUGUAGUUGUUCUGUUCGCGAUUCUCGGCAUGUCUUCCUUCGCUGUUAACCACGUUUGUUUUAUGGUUAACGCGAUUGGAUUCAGAAUGGAUGUUGCAAGACGGGCUCACCUCUGGGCUUCCACGGGAACCCCACUUUCUGUCUUCGGAGCUUUGGGGUUUGCUACCAGAAACCAGGCUUUGAAUGAACGAGGAUAAAUUCCAGGAGUGUGAAAGGAUUGAAGUUGCUCAGCCAUGGAGUUGGAGUACAAAUACUGAAAGGAAAAGGAGUCCUGUGUUUCCAGCUGAACCAAUCCCACAAGGUGUUUGUGUACUUAGCUGGAGGGCUAGCUCCAGUUGAUGCCGUACUCCCCCCUUUCUUGAAAAAUUCAAGAAUUAAAUUUCUGACUUUGUAGCAUUUCUACCUGCAGAAAGAAUAAAAGAAAUUAAAACUUGUAUUUUGUCA
rnacentral:lncRNA from 1 species